ACUCCUACGGGAGGCAGCAGUGGGGAAUAUUGCACAAUGGGCGCAAGCCUGAUGCAGCCAUGCCGCGUGUAUGAAGAAGGCCUUCGGGUUGUAAAGUACUUUCAGCAGUGAGGAAGGUGGGUAGUGUUAAUAGCAUACUCAUUUGUACGUUAGCUGCAGAAGAAGCACCGGCUAACUCCGUGCCAGCAGCCGCGGUAAUACGGAGGGUGCGAGCGUUAAUCGGAAUUACUGGGCGUAAAGCGCAUGCAGGUGGUUGUUAAGUCAGAUGUGAAAGCCCGGGGCUCAACCUCGGAAUUGCAUUUGAAACUGGCAAACUAGAGUACUGUAGAGGGGGUA
rnacentral:rRNA from 1 species